ensembl:lncRNA
GAAAGCUGUAAGUUGCUGCUCUGACUGUGAUCUGGUACAAUUGUUCUCAGAUACGCUAGAACAGAUCUUUUGUGGAUAUUUAACCAAAACAUUCGCUUUGCAGCUCGGAAGAGACUCUUGGUAGACAUUUCACAGCACAUUCGCAGCAUUCUGCAGCAUUCAGUGUUUUAUAAUGGCACUGUUUCGCAGUCUGUUUGAGUGGAUUCAAUGUUAUGUUCACCACAUACCCAGAAGGAGAAAAAAACAGGGGGUGCAGAAGUGGACAGAUCCAGAAUGUGCCCCAAUGGAAGGGGUGAGUAGGCCCUUUGAUGUUAGCAAUAUUGGCCAGAUAAAGAAAAACAGGAAAGAAGAGAUAGAAAAAGAUCAAAAGAAUGAGAUGAUGAUGAAGGGACGGAGUGAGAAUGAGGAAAUCAGGCAGGCUGAAGAAAAGAGAAAGACAGGCAGUCUAGAAAAGACAAAGACUAUGGUAACACAAAGUGAGCAUAAGACAAACAGAGAGUUUAAAGAGAAGAGAAACAAAAAAAUUAAGAAAGAGGAGACCAAAGACCCAACUCCAUUACUUAUUGAGGUCAAACCUAAACCAACUCCACCAGCCACUGAGAUCAAAACCCUGGCUGGUUCUUCAUUCAUAAAGUCAUCAGUGAAAGAACCACUGGAGGCUAAAAGGGCCCCUCGACACCUGCCUCCACUGGCCAGCGAGACCAGAUCUCCAUCUUCAGGGGAAGAACCAUUGCUGGUUCAGAGGGUAUCUCAACACCCAGCUUUACCAGCCAUUGAGGUUAACCCCAUGCCUGGCUCUUCCUUCAUAAAAUCAUCAGUGGAAGAACCUCCUUUAUCAAUGACAGAAUUUCCAGUUCAAAGGGUUUCUCAACACCCAUCUCCACAACCACAAGUCAUCAAAGAAGCCUCCAGACAUUUUGCUCCAAAAGCUACUGAGACCAAACCUCUGCGUCUUUCUUUUGUGGUGGACCCUGAGAUGGUUCAAAAGGCAUUUCGACAACUGGCUCAAACAGCCACUGAAUCAUUGGCAGUUCCACAUGAACCAACUCCAAAAGAAGUAAUAUCCAUGUCCAGUUCUGCAUCCUCUAAGUCACCAGAGGAGGAACCACAGAUGGUUCAAAGGGCCUCUCGAAACCUGGUUCCACCAUCCAUCAAGACUAUACCACUGCAACCAGUAGCUAAACCAUUGAUGAUUCAAAGAACCUCUAGACAUUUUGCUCCAAAACCUACUGGAUCUUCUGUGCAAGAACCCAAGAUGGUUCAAAGAGCAUCUCAACAUCUGGCUCCACCAGCUGAAGAAUCAUCAUGGGCAGAACGAACUCCAGAAUCUCUGUCACAUUCAGUGGAAGAACAAUUGAGGGAACAAGUGAUGGUUCCUCCAAGACAAAUUCCUAAAUGUGCUGAGGUGAAGCCGAAGUCGGCCACUUCAUCACUCGUCCUAAUGGACAUUGAAUCUGGAGAGGAUGAGUUUGUGGAGCACACAGAGAGGACAAUACCUUUCAGCAAGUUUGAGAAGGCUAAUCAUGAGCAAACGCUGGAGGCUGGGGUGAAACAGAAAGGAAUGUUUGAGAAGGUCCAUCCUAAGGUUCUGGAGCAGUCAAAUGUCUCUGGGAAAAAGAAAUGUGGUGACUCCAAAGCUGAAGCUUUACAAAAAGCUAAGGAACUGGAUGAACGACUGAUGAGGCUGUUCUGCGUAGACUACAACCCUGGUCCUAAGAAAGAGAACCAACAAUAUUUAAAAGGUCAAGAGAAGCCUAAGAACAAAGGGAAAAUAAGAGCUGGUCCUUUCAGCUGGGCAGAGAAAAAGUUAAAAAGGCUAAAUGAAGAGAAAAAGUCAGAAAAGGAUGGAAAAGCACGAAAUGACCUACUUGAAGAAUUCCUAAGGGAUCCAAAAUCACAGUUUAACAUACAGCCAUAUUUAUAACUCACUCUCUCUAAUGGCAAAAAAGUACAUUUGCAGAUAGUAUAAUAUUCAAGUACUGAAAAUUUAAGGCUACUUAAGUGUACUUAAAGAAUGUGCUUUCAUGACUAUGUUUUAUAACAUACUGAAGUGUUUAUUUUAAUUCAUAGUUUUUGUUGUGUUUUAAAGAAG